UACCAGCACCCCGAGUGGUCGGGACGAUUAUUGGGCCUAAAGCAUCCGUAGCCGGUUCUACAAGUCUUCCGUUAAAUCCACCUGCUUAACAGAUGGGCUGCGGAGGAUACUAUGGAGCUAGGAGGCGGGAGAGGCAAGCGGUACUUAGUGGGUAGGGGUAAAAUCCGUUGAUCCAUUGAAGACCACCAGUGGCGAAGGCGGCUUGCCAGAACGCACUCGACGGUGAGGGAUGAAAGCUGG
rnacentral:rRNA from 1 species